rnacentral:lncRNA from 1 species
CCCAUUCUCUCCCUCCUUUCCCUCUCUCCACUUUCCUUAUUCCUUUCCUACCUUUUUUGACCCAGGUAUUCAGGAUUUCAUGUACUUAGACUGGCCUUGAACUUGCAGAAUAGCUGAGAAGACCUUGAACUCCUGAAUCUCUGCCUUUUACUGGGAUUACAGGUGUCAUCACACCCUUUUCAUGCUACUGGAGGUCAACCCCAGUGCUUCAUGCAUUGCAUAUUAAAUCUGGGUGUGUGUGGCGCCUAAAUGAAGCACUCUGCAUUCCGCCCCCUCCUGGAGGCACACAGUACUGCAGCCAGAAAUAUUAGGCACAGAAGGAAGGAAAGGCAGUUGUCUGAGCAUGAAGUCACGGGAAAGGGUGCUGGAGAGAAACCGUGGGCUGCUCUGCGUAGCUGUAGGAAAUGAACAAUGCGGUGCCGAAUGAGAGCUGGCGCUACUGUGGUCCAAGUGCAGGCAUCGCUCACACGUCAGUCGGCAGAGCGCAGAUACCACAGUGCACAGUCGAUCACUGUGGAGUGAAUGCCCAGGAGGUGCUCGAUGCCAGUGACCAGGAGCUGCAGGCGCAGUGUGGUCCUCAUUCAGGACGUGGACAGACAUUCGAAGCAGUCAAGCACAUACCUUUUCCUACCAGAAAUCACUUUCUCUGCAAGUAAACAACUGUCUGCCUACCGAGAAUUAUAAUUUUAAAAAAUGGAGUUGGGUCUAAUUAUAAUUUGUGAAUAAAAAAAUUACAAAAA